AUUGAACGCUGGCGGCAGGCCUAACACAUGCAAGUCGAACGGUAACAGGAAGCAGCUUGCUGCUUUGCUGACGAGUGGCGGACGGGUGAGUAAUGUCUGGGAAACUGCCUGAUGGAGGGGGAUAACUACUGGAAACGGUAGCUAAUACCGCAUAACGUCGCAAGACCAAAGAGGGGGACCUUAGGGCCUCUUGCCAUCGGAUGUGCCCAGAUGGGAUUAGCUAGUAGGUGGGGUAACGGCUCACCUAGGCGACGAUCCCUAGCUGGUCUGAGAGGAUGACAAGCCACACUGGAACUGAGACAAGGUCCAGACUCCUACGGGAGGCAGCAGUGGGGAAUAUUGCACAAUGGGCGCAAGCCUGAUGCAGCCAUGCCGCGUGUAUGAAGAAGGCCUUCGGGUUGUAAAGUACUUUCAGCGGGGAGGAAGGGAGUAAAGUUAAUACCUUUGCUCAUUGACGUUACCCGCAGAAGAAGCACCGGCUAACUCCGUG
rnacentral:rRNA from 1 species